rnacentral:rRNA from 1 species
AGAGAGAGACAUGCGCGCAUAUCAAUAAGCGGAGGAAAAGAAACUAUCAAGGAUUCCCUUAGUAACGGCGAGUGAAGCGGGAAGAGCUCAAAUUUGAAAUCUUCAAGGUUUUACCUUGACGAAUUGUAGUUUAAAGAAGUGUUUUCUGCUGAAGUUUUGGUAAAAGUUCUUUGGAAUAGGACAUCAUAGAGGGUGAGAAUCCCGUAUUUGACCAUUAUUUUCAGCUUUGUGAUACACUUUCAAAGAGUCGGAUUGUUUGGGAAUGCAGUCCAAAAUGGGUGGUAAAUUUCAUCUAAAGCUAAAUAUUGGCGAGAGACCGAUAGCGAACAAGUACCGAUGAGGGAAAGAUGAAAAGAACUUUGAAAAGAGAGUUAAACAGUACGUGAAAUUGUCAAAAGGGAAGCGUUUGACACCAGUGUUGUUUUCUCGAAAAUCAAUUAAAAAUGGCUCGAUUUUGUAUUGUUGAGACCUUAAAAGCUCACUGUACAUUUUUCGUGUCUUUUUUAAUGCACUUUUCGUUUAACAAGUCAACAUCAGUUCCUUUUGUUGUAAAAGGGUCAUUGGAAGGUGGCUUUCUUUUCGGAGAAAGUGUUUAUAGCCUUUGGCCUCUGCAAUCGGAGAGACUGAGGUCUGCAGCGUAGACUCUUCGGGGUUAGAUACAUUUGUGCUAAGUUAUAGCUUUUUAUAGACAACUUGUUGACUAUAAUUAGUCUUGUAGCUUACUCGCUUAUGCUAUUUUACCUACGCUUAGGAUGUUGAGUCGUAGAGCACGCAG